rnacentral:rRNA from 1 species
GUGGGGAAUAUUGGACAAUGGGCGGAAGCCUGAUCCAGCCAUGCCGCGUGUGUGAAGAAGGUCUUCGGAUUGUAAAGCACUUUAAGUUGGGAGGAAGGGCAGUAAGCUAAUACCUUGCUGUUUUGACGUUACCGACAGAAUAAGCACCGGCUAACUUCGUGCCAGCAGCCGCGGUAAUACGAAGGGUGCAAGCGUUAAUCGGAAUUACUGGGCGUAAAGCGCGCGUAGGUGGUUCAGCAAGUUGGAGGUGAAAUCCCCGGGCUCAACCUGGGAACUGCCUCCAAAACUACUGAGCUAGAGUACGGUAGAGGGUAGUGGAAUUUCCUGUGUAGCGGUGAAAUGCGUAGAUAUAGGAAGGAACACCAGUGGCGAAGGCGACUACCUGGACUGAUACUGACACUGAGGUGCGAAAGCGUGGGGAGCAAACAGGAUUAGAAACCCGUGUAGUCC